UAUAUGUGCACAUUAAUUAAUUCUUCAUUCACCUGAUACACUGCUUUGCUUAGAUACCUUUCUUGUUUUCUCUAUUACUUUUAUCUCCUGCUCUUAUUUUAAUAUUGAUUUGGUCUUUCUCUUGCCCUUCAACAAAAAACAAAACAAAAUAAUAAAAAAAACAACCAAACCUUUUCUUUCCACAGAUCUUAAGUGGCAGAUAUUCUAAACCAUGGUUAAGUGCUAGAGUUAGAUUGUUAUGGGGAAACCACUCAGCUGCCCUCCCCACUCCACCCAUCACACUGCAUUGGAAACCCUGGUUCAGUUUCCAGUGAAACCCCUCCCCUGCCCUUAUUUCAUGUUUCCCAGUUUUACAGAGAAGGGAGGAUAAAAGGACUCUGCCACAGGGGUCCUUGAUUUUGAAAAAGAUCUUUGCCUGUCUUUCUUGGUUCUCCCUAAUCUAUAGGCUUCUGUGGAUAUACCAGUGGGGGAGGAGAAGCCUGUUCCCCUCCUGAUUAUUAGCCUUAGGCAUUUAAAUGUGAAUGCUUACCCACAGGUGCCUGUUGUAUUCCUUGCAAACAUACCCAGUAGCAUUCUGAGAGAAGUAAGCAGUUUCCCCUCCUAUUGAGUAAAUGUUUAUUGUGUUCAUCAGUGGACAGUAUAGAAGUAGUCCUGGCAGAGUAGGAAAGGCUGCAAUAGUGAACAAGAAAGCAUAGCCUGUAACAGGCAGGCAAUGACUAGCAGAUUGGAAGGACAUCGGGUGGGAGAGUGGAAUGAUCACUGAGGACCAUGAUACAUCACAGUGCAGUCUGAGUCCCCAUUACUCCAUCUUAUAGGAGAAUGAACCAGAGAAGAGAAGUGAGAUUUGCCCAGAUUUGACAGACUAGAACCCCAGCGAACCCAGAUGCUGCCCAAGUUCCAAACUGGCCAUUGGGUGGUACAUACAUGGGCCAGAUACAAAUUACACCACAUACUGAAAACCUCUUUUCCUUUGGUGCUUGAGAGGCUUCAUGGAGGAAGUGGAACUUGAAAGGGAGCCUUUAAGAAUAUUUCAGAAACAGAUGAAGAAGUGCAGGCAGCUCGAAGGAAGGGAACCAGGUACAGAGAGGUGGGAAUGGACAUUGCACUUCAGAAUCCGCUGGAUUGUGGAAUUGCUAACGAGGAAGUGGGUAUUGUAGAGGCCGAUGGAAGGUCAGGUGUUGGAGGAGCCUGGACUUUGCAGGGCUGUGGAGCCAAACACAGGGGUUGAGAUGUGGUCUGUUAGGCAAUGGAGAGUUCCUUGAGGCAGUUGCAAAUGGGGAGCGAGGUUGUAGGUGUGGGUGUUUUGGACCAGUACUUUAGUUGAGUGUAUGGGGUACAUUGAAAAGGACAGACUACAACAAAGGCAGGAGGCUAACAAAGAGAACCUCCAAUAGAGGACAGAUCUGACCAAAUGUCUGGAUUUUUAGGUAUAUUUCGGCAACUAGGUAAUGGUUUUCUCUUUUCCUAACUGUAUCUCUUUUAUUCAUCUUGAAGCUGUGAAUUUGAGGAAGGAUCACAAUAUUUACCAAUUAAGAAGGUAUAAAAGUAAGCAUGUGCCUCUUUGCUAAAAGUGCUGCAUAAGCUUGUGGGCUCAAAGAGAAGGAAGUUUUAAAUUAGCAGUAGAAUGCGAUGUAGGAUUAUACAAGGGUAGCAAUGCCUAUGUCCAUCCCUGCUAUUUUAAGGAGAAUUAGUCAUAAAUAGUUCCCAAAUAUGGUUCAAAAGCAUGAAAAGUGGAAAGAAGCUUUAAACUACCAUUAUUUUCAGAUAGGAUUCUCUAUAUAGAAAAAUCUAAAACCUUGCAAAUAAUAAUUAAAAUUAUUAAGAGUUUAUCAAGGUUGCUCCAUUCAGAAGAAAGGAGGAAUAAAUAUAUAGUAUCAGAUACAGGAGGCUUUAGAUCAAGAAAAAUUACAGGAAUUAAAAGACAUGACAUCAUGACAAAAGGUUCAAUUUGCCAAAAAGACAUAAUGAACCUAAAUGAGUAUGUACCCGAAAACAGAGGUUGAAAAUACAAGCAACAAAAAGUGACAAACACUGAGAAGAGAAUCAGAUAAACCUACAGUUAUAGAUGGGGUCUUCAAUACUCCCUUCUCAGUUAUUGGCAGCAAUAGUAGCCAGCAGAUAAUAAGAUAGAGGAGAGCUGAAUAACACUGUGCACUCACUGAAUCUGGGUAACAUUUAUGGCAUACUUCAUGCAACAAGAGAAUGCAUAUUCUUUUCAC